UUGACCUCGGAACAGGU
rnacentral:rRNA from 4 species